GGCUUGAUGGUCUAGAGGUAUGAUUCCUGCUUUGGGUGCAGGAGGCCCCGGGUUCGAUCCCCGGUCAAGCCC
rnacentral:tRNA from 1 species